AGAUGGCCUCCAGGUGCAGGGCCUCGAGCUUCUGGGUCAUCUCGCGGUGCCGCUGCCGGAACCAGCCGUCAAAGUUGGGGGACUUGAAGAAUCGCCUGUGGAGAGGGGAGGUUCCCAGGAGAGUGCCCAGCACCUUGUAACCACUCCCAAUCCCAAAGGAAGGAGGACUGGGAUGUGCAUCCUACCUUCCACGGAGUGAUGGCCCUCUGCAGAGGCAUCAGGCUGGCCAUGUAAUGCUCCUAAAUCAAGAAAAGAUAAAAGUAAAAAUCAUAACUUAGA